GCCUAUUAUGUAAAGUCUGCAAAAUUGACGUGCCUGGACUAUUUUUCUAAACAGAAUUGUGGACAUAAAGACAAUGCAUGGACGUCAGAAGAAGAAUGAAUUGUACUCGAAAGUGAGUGGGAGCUGAUUAUGGAUUAUUAAAGCAAAUGCUGAGGCAGUUGAUGAAUGAAGGCAGGAUAUGAAGUAGACCCAUUUAAAAAGAAAAAAAAUGUGAUUUUUGUUACGGAUACUGUCGGGAGUAGGAUUUUGUCUUUGCGGUGGUGAAGCAGAACUGGAAUCAUGUUAUUUUUAGCUAUUCUGUAAAACAUACAUAGACCCUGAAACACAUUCAGAACAACUCAAAAUUUUUAUCCCUAAAAUAAAUGUGAAGCACUAAUUAGAUUUUACAAAAGUCUAUGGGGUUUAUUAACUAAACACCCAAUUUACUAAAUUGUAAAGCAGAUUGCAAAAUAGUUCAAAAGUCUAG